AUGUUUAAAAAAACAUAUGCUGAGAACCUGCCUGCACUUGAAGGAAAACAGCAGUGGGAUAUUGUAGACCCUGGUUUCAAACUAAGUCCACCUGUACAGAACAAAGCUGCACCUGGCAGGCCAAGGAAGACAAGAAUUAAGCCAGCAAGUGAAGGAAAAGGACUUGGUCCUAGGAAGAGAAAAUGCAAGAGGUGUGGUGGCUUGGGUCACUUACUGAAAACCUGCAAAAAAGCCAUUGAUCCAGCAUUUGGUGAAGAAUAUGCACACUGGGGAGCUGACAAUGCUGAAGAAGACCCUCCUAACCAAAAUGCAGACCUACAUGAUAAACAACAAGAAGAAGAGGAGCCAUACAGUGAAGAUGAAGCUCCAGUGCAGCCUGCAGGUGAAGAUGAAGCUCCAGUGCAGCCUGCAGGUGAAGAUGAAGCUCCAGUGCAGCCUACAGGUGCAGAUGAUGCUCCAGUGCAGCCUGCAGGUGCACAGGAUGCUCCAGUAGAGCCCCACAGCGAAACAAAUGAGACACACACCAAGGAAGAACUAUAA
rnacentral:rRNA from 1 species